UACAGAGGGUGCUAGCGUUGUUCGGAAUCAUUGGGCGUAAAGGGCGUGUAGGCGGUUUGUUAAGUCAUGUGUGAAAGCCCCCGGCUCAACCGGGGAACGACGCAUGAAACUGGCAAGCUAGAGUACCGAAGAGGGGGUGGAAUUCCCGGUGUAGCGGUGAAAUGCGUAGAGAUGUGGAGGAACACCGAUGGCGAAGGCAGCCCCCUGGGCCAAUACUGACGCUGAGAAGCGAAAGCAUGGGGAGCGAACAGG
rnacentral:rRNA from 1 species